GUGCUCGCUUUGGCAGCGCAUAGACUAAAAUUGGAACGAUCCAUAGCAGAUGAAGCACGGCCCCUGCAUGCACAAGGAUGGCACGCAGAUUCGUGAAGAGAAGAGUUUAAUA